GUGGCCUAGUGGUCAUGGCAUCUGCCCGGUAAGUGGAAGGUCGUGGGUUCGAUUCCCUUGUAACCCU